GACGAACGCUGGCGGCGUGCUUAACACAUGCAAGUCGAACGGUGACCCAGGGCUUGCCCUGGUGAUCAGUGGCGAACGGGUGAGUAACACGUGGGCAACCUGCCCCUGACUUCGGGAUAACUCCUCGAAAGAGGAGCUAAUACCGGAUACGACCACUUCGGACAUCCGAUGGUGGUGGAAAGUUUUUCGGUCAGGGAUGGGCCCGCGGCCUAUCAGCUAGUUGGUGGGGUAAUGGCCUACCAAGGCGACGACGGUAGCCGGCCUGAGAGGGCGACCGGCCACACUGGGACUGAGACACGGCCCAGACGCCUACGGGAGGCAGCAGUGGGGAAUAUUGCGCAAUGGGCGAAAGCCUGACGCAGCGACGCCGCAUGAGGGAUGAAGGCCUUCGGGUUGUAAACCGUCUUUCUAGCAGGACGAAGCGAAGUGACGGUACCUGCAGAAGAAG
rnacentral:rRNA from 1 species